rnacentral:rRNA from 1 species
GCUCUGCAAAAUCGUAAGAUGAAGUAUAGGGCCUGACACCUGCCCGGUGCUGGAAGGUUAAGAGGAUUUGUCAGCGCAAGCGAAGCAGAGAAUCGAAGCCCCAGUAAACGGCGGCCGUAACAAUAACGGUCCUAAGGUAGCGAAAUUCCUUGUCGGGUAAGUUCCGACCUGCACGAAUGGCGUAACGAUGGCCACACUGUCUCCUCCUGAGACUCAGCGAAGUUGAAAUGUUUGUGAUGAUGCAAUCUCCCCGCGGAAAGACGGAAAGACCCCAUGAACCUUUACUGUAGCUUUGUAUUGGACUUUGAACAGAUCUGUGUAGGAUAGGUGGGAGGCUUUGAAUCGGUGCCGCUAGGUGUCGUGGAGCCAACGUUGAAAUACCACCCUGGUGUGUUUGAGGUUCUAACCUAGGUCCAUUAUCUGGAUCGGGGACAGUGCAUGGUAGGCAGUUUGACUGGGGCGGUCUCCUCCCAAAGUGUAACGGAGGAGUUCGAAGGUACGCUAGUUACGGUCGGACAUCGUGACGAUAGUGCAAUGGCAUAAGCGUGCUUAACUGCGAGACUGACAAGUCGAGCAGAUGCGAAAGCAGGACAUAGUGAUCCGGUGGUUCUGUAUGGAAGGGCCAUCGCUCAACGGAUAAAAGGUACUCUGGGGAUAACAGGCUGAUACCGCCCAAGAGUUCAUAUCGACGGCGGUGUUUGGCACCUCGAUGUCGGCUCAUCUCAUCCUGGGGCUGUAGCCGGUCCCAAGGGUAUGGCUGUUCGCCAUUUAAAGAGGUACGUGAGCUGGGUUUAAAACGUCGUGAGACAGUUUGGUCCCUAUCUUCCGUGGGCGCUGCAGAUUUGAGGAAGCCUGCUCCUAGUACGAGAGGACCGGAGUGGACGAACCUCUGGUGUUCGGGUUGUUACGCCAGUAGCAUUGCCCGGUAGCUAAGUUCGGAAUCGAUAAACGCUGAAAGCAUCUAAGCGUGAAGCGAGCCCCGAGAUGAGUCUUCCCUGAAGCUUUAAGCUUCUUAAAGGGUUGUUCAAGACCAGGACGUUGAUAGGUCUGGUGUGUAAGUACAGUGAUGUAUUGAGCUAACAGAUACUAAUUGCCCGUAAGGCUUAACCAU